AUUGAACGCUGGCGGCAGGCCUAACACAUGCAAGUCGAACGAGUGGCGGACUGGCGAGCAAUGUCUGGGCAACUGCCUGGCGGAGGGGGAUAACUACUGGAAACGGUAUCUAAUACCGCAUACCAUCAGAUGUGCCCAGUUGGGAUUAGCUAGUUGGUGGGGUAACGGCUCACCAAGGCGACGAUCCCUAGCCGGUCUGAGAGGAUGACCAGCCACACUGGAACAGGUCAACGGUCCAGACUCCGACGGGAGGCAGAAGGGGGGAAUAUUGGGCAAUGGGCGCAAGCCUGAUGCAGCCAUGCCGCGUGUAUGAAGAAGGCCUUCGGGUUGUAAAGUACUUUCGGCGGAGAGGCGUUACCCGCAGAUGAAGCACCGGCUAACUCCGUGCCAGCCGCCGCGGUAAUAC
rnacentral:rRNA from 1 species